rnacentral:tRNA from 1 species
AGUAUGAAGCAAAAUUUGCAAUUAGUUUCGACCUAAUCUUAGAUAUUAAAAUUAUCCUUACUU